rnacentral:lncRNA from 1 species
UUGACCUGUAUAGGUUAAGUGCUUACAGGUCUUAUUUCACUUAAUCGUGAAAACAACCCUACAGAAUGGGUAUAGCUAUCUUUAUUUUAUAGGUGAGAAAAUUUAAAUCUACAAAUGGCACUAAAAGGAGAAACAUUAAAAAAUAAAUUCCUUGAUAAAAAGAAGAAAAAUGGAGGACAAGAACUUCCAGACCACAAAUGGAAAAAAUGGCCAGAUUUCGAACUUGUUGACACAAGACUUUCUAAAGAAUUCUUUCCUUCAAUCUUCAAAUCCUAAAAUAUUCAAAAUGGUAAUUGCUUAAUCAGUCUCAGAGCAAAACCGUUGGCUUAUGGAGGGUAAAUGGAUAGCACGAAUAAUAAGUUAUUGAUUUUGGAAGCCACUGAGAUUUGGGGGUUAUUUGUUAUUAUAGCAUAACUUUGCAUAUCCUGAUUGUAUUGGGCCUCUAAAAUCACGUUGUA